rnacentral:rRNA from 1 species
CCUACGGGUGGCAGCAGUGGGGAAUAUUGGACAAUGGGGGGAACCCUGAUCCAGCCAUGCCGCGUGUGUGAAGAAGGCCCUCGGGUUGUAAAGCACUUUCAGUGAGGAAGAACGCCUGGUGGUUAAUACCCAUCAGGAAAGACAUCACUCACAGAAGAAGCACCGGCUAACUCCGUGCCAGCAGCCGCGGUAAUACGGAGGGUGCGAGCGUUAAUCGGAAUUACUGGGCGUAAAGCGCGCGUAGGUGGCCUGAUAAGCCGGUUGUGAAAGCCCCGGGCUCAACCUGGGAACGGCAUCCGGAACUGUCAAGCUAGAGUGCAGGAGAGGAAGGUAGAAUUCCCGGUGUAGCGGUGAAAUGCGUAGAGAUCGGGAGGAAUACCAGUGGCGAAGGCGGCCUUCUGGACUGACACUGACACUGAGGUGCGAAAGCGUGGGUAGCAAACAGGAUUAGAUACCCUUGUAGUC